rnacentral:lncRNA from 10 species
GAGGGGACCUGCUUCUUAAAAUUUGCUUCCUCUUCCUGUUGGAAGCUUCAUAGUCUUCAUCAAGAUCCUUAUUAUUUCUUGCUAUUUGUGAACCUCCCUGCUUUCAAGUCCUCUUCAAUUGUUUCUUCAGGCCAGACAUUCCAUAUGAGAAGGACUGAGAGUUCAAGGAGACCCAUCUGAUGAAGUGGCACUCCCAAAGAAAAGAUAAAGUCAAAUCUGGCUGGCCAGUUACAACUUCAGAGCUCUUUCAUAACUUUCUGAGGUUGUAGAUAAAUUGGACCUUCGCAGAAGACCGUGGCUGUGGACAAGUAAACAAUUCCUAUCAUACAUUUCUCACUGGAGGGAAAGUUAAAAGUUAGAUUCAAUAAAAGUGACCGCCAUGACUUAACUAAACCAUCCAGCAUCUCCUUGCCGACAGCCUGCCUUAUAUUUACAUGAAAGGAUUUCCUGCCAGUUUAUCAUCUUAGUCUUAAUACCUAGGCCUUUAUCCCCUCAUCUCUAUCCUACCAAUUGCCUGUCUUUUCAUUUUGCACAGAUGGAAUGGGCAAUUGAAGAAGUAAGGCAUCAUUACCUUCUUCUUUUUAAAGAUGUAGGGAGUGAGCACCAGGUUCUGUUCUCAGCAAACCUCUUUAAUCCUAGUGGGGUUGGUUAUAGCAACUUCAAGCCUACCUGACUCCAGUUUUCUCUUCCAAAUCAAUCUUUAAUCCUCAAAAAGGUUGAUUUGAUUGCACAGUCCUUGCUUACUGUAUUUCAAUGGUUCCCUAGGGUUUUCAUAUUAUAGCUGGAGUUCCUUAGCUUGGGAAAAAAAAUUCAUUUUAAGCCCCUUGACUCUCCUUUAUUUUUGUAUUUAACUUUUUAAAAUAAAAAAAUCUGAAAUAUCCUAACAUGUAGAAAUUUGCAGAAGAUCAUUCAUCUUUCUAAAAGCUAGCUUCCUCUAGUCAUCAUUUCCCACUCUAUGCACCAGCCAUGACUUGAGCCCCUAAAAUUUCUCUUGCUAUUUAACACUUCCAUGAUUGUGUCAAUCCUG